UACGAACUGUGCAAACGUUAUUCGGAAUCACUGGGCUUAAAGGGUGCGUAGGCGGUCAUUUAGGUAGGGUGUGAAAGCCCCCGGCUCAACCGGGGAAUUGCGCCCUAAACCGGGUGACUGGAGCGAGAUAGGGGUGUGUGGAACUUCCGGUGGAGCGGUGAAAUGUGUUGAUAUCGGAAGGAACGCCGGUGGCGAAAGCGACACACUGGGUCUCAACUGACGCUGAGGCACGAAAGCGUGGGGAGCAAACAGG
rnacentral:rRNA from 1 species